AAGCAUCUCUUUUGCCCCAUACACAGAUUAUCUCCUCAUCCCACCUCGAAUUCCGCCUGCAGAGCUGAGACGAUGGCCAUGAAUGCUGCCACAAUCCCACCUCACGUGUGCACCUCGUAGUCACUACUUUUCCUCCAGACAUUUUCUCAAGCCAGAAGAAUGAGCACAGCCCACAUCUGAAGCAGCCUGAGAGGCUGGGCCUGCAGGGGAGAUACCGGCCCUAUGGAAGGCAGUUGGUGGGCAAAAGUCCGGUUUCUACGCUUUGAGGGGACACCUGUGGGGCACCCUGAGGCCCAGCCCUGCUGGGUGAGUAUGGCGCCUCAUCCACCCACGAGAAACCUGGAAUAGAAUGAAAGGGCCGU
rnacentral:lncRNA from 1 species